CGAGCUGCAGCCUUUCCUGACCAGGCCAGGCCACUGUUCAUUUCCCAGGGCCAGGCAUCACUUCUCGGCAAGGAGGGCGACUCUGAAGGAGGGCCCCAUCCCUAGGGCCUAGGAGCUUCCUCUUUGUCACCACUGUCAUCUGCCAGGACCCCAGAACAGAGCUGUGGCUUCAGAGACACAGUGAUGGAUGAGUCGAAGGAGCCGGAACUGAAAUGGGACGUCCUCCCAGACAGGCAGGAGGGGAAGGAGGAGCCACGGGGAGAUGGAGCAGCCACAGCGAGGCAGGAUGUGAACCAGAGCAAGGCUGACUGUGGGAACCUGAGGGCUGUAAGAAAUAGAGUUGAACGUGCCAGACGCUGCAGAAAUCAGAGGUCAUGAGGAUUUGGUUCUAUUUCCCUCUGGAUUUGCUAAGCUCAUGGGAUGAGGGGCAGGGCUGCUGACGGUCCUCUUACACCCGCUACAGAGAAAGGCUGCCCUGGGUGUGGAGAGCGAGUCAGAGCUCUGAGGAGACGACUUGAACCUCUGCCUCCUGCUGUGGAGGGACGACUUGAACCUCUGCCUCCCGCUGUGGAGGGACGACUUGAACCUCUGCCUCCCGCUGUGGAGGGACGACUUGAACCUCUGCCUCCUGCUGUCGAGGGACGACUUGAACCUCUGCAGCCCUACAUGCCUGAAACUAGACACCCCAGACGCCCCGGACUUGGGACUUAACAGUUCUCUUUGUGCUUAACCUGUUCGAACUUGCUUCUCAUCUUUGCAACUAAAAGAGUCUUAAAAAUAAUAAAAAUAAUAGUCACUGUAAAUAAUAAUUGUAAAGGAUAAUAACAGUCAUAAAUGCCAUUUGAGUAUAUCCCUAACUUCUGGAUGUACCCCAAUUACAUAUUUUAUUUCUUACAGAAUGUUUUUGUCUGCUCACUGAUUACAGAACAAUAAUAAUAAUUAUUCCAUUCAUGUCUGAUCUCUCUGCCAGCCUGACAACAAUUAUUAGGUUAAGUAAUUUGUCCAAGGAAUAAGGAGCAGAGGUGGGAUCCACACUGGAUCUGUCUGUGUGUGAUAUCUGUGUCUACCGCAGCAGGCCUCCAAUUCCCCUUGGGCUCUGAAUGCUUCUUUGGCAUUACGAUGAAAGUCAGUGAAUAAAUAGGUUACUUCAGC
rnacentral:lncRNA from 1 species